rnacentral:rRNA from 1 species
ACGGGAGGCAGCAGUGGGGGAUAUUGCACAAUGGGGGAAACCCUGAUGCAGCGACGCCGCGUGAGUGAUGAAGUAUUUCGGUAUGUAAAGCUCUAUCAGCAGGGAAGAAAAUGACGGUACCUGGCUAAGAAGCUCCGGCUAAAUACGUGCCAGCAGCCGCGGUAAUACGUAUGGAGCAAGCGUUAUCCGGAUUUACUGGGUGUAAAGGGAGCGUAGACGGUGACGCAAGUCUGAAGUGAAAGGUGUGGGCUCAACCCGCAAACUGCUUUGGAAACUGUGUGACUAGAGUGUCGGAGAGGUAAGUGGAAUUCCUAGUGUAGCGGUGAAAUGCGUAGAUAUUAGGAGGAACACCAGUGGCGAAGGCGGCUUACUGGACGAUAACUGACGUUGAGGCUCGAAAGCGUGGGGAGCAAACAGGAUUAGAUACCCUGGUA